rnacentral:rRNA from 1 species
CCUACGGGGGGCUGCAGUGGGGGAUAUUGCACAAUGGGGGAAACCCUGAUGCAGCGAUGCCGCGUGAAUGAAGACGGCCUUCGGGUUGUAAAGCUCUGUCGCAGGGGACGAAAAUGACGGUAACCUGCAAGAAAGCUCCGGCUAACUACGUGCCAGCAGCCGCGGUAAUACGUCGGGAGCAAGCGUUAUCCGGAUUUACUGGGUGGAAAGGGAGCGUAGACGGGGAUGCAAGUCUGAAGUGAAAGGGGGGGGCCCAACCCCUGGACUGCUUUGGAAACUGUAUGGCUGGAGUGCAGGAGAGGUCAGUGGAAUUCCUAGUGUAGCGGUGAAAUGCGUAGAUAUUAGGAGGAACACCAGUGGCGAAGGCGGCUUACUGGACUGUAACUGACGUUGAGGCUCGAAAGUGUGGGGAGCAAACAGGAUUAGAUACCCCGGUAGUC